UAAAGCAACUGUCACAUAAUGGUUCUGACAAGAACUAGCUUCCAGUCAACUGACCAACCCUGGAUGAGCAGUUAAGGUGGCUGGAGUCAGGGUGGCAUUCUAACAAAAGCCAGCAGGGUCCUGGGCACGGUCUUUGCUGACCCAGCCAUCCUCGGUGUCAGGGACCCUGGACCAGGAAGUCACCAUCUCCUGCUCCGGGAACAGCAACAUUGGAUCCCAUAAUGUGUGUUGGUUCCAGCUGUCAGUGGUGCUACCCCAAAACUCUGACUCUUGGAAGUACCAGGCCCUGAGAGAUUCCAGAUGAUUCUCUGUCUCUAAGUCAGGCAACGUGGUCUCUUUGACCACCUGUGGGCUCCAGCCUGAGGAUCAGGUGAUUGUUACUGUCACACAUAUGACAGAGACCUCAGUGUACUCAGUGCUGUGUGCCCACGAGGAAGUGAGACAUAAACCACCCCCUGGGGCCCCUGAUCACACCUUCACUCCUCUGUGAUUGACGUCACCUCUGUCACCAGCAUCUGAGGGUCUGAGACCCCUACAUGGGUCUAUCGAUCUGAGCAUGUCCCUUCCUCUGAUCCCCUGUAGACUGAGCCAUUCCUAUCGAUGCACCCUCUGCCUGCUCAUGUCCACACAGGCAGGAGCUCCUUUUCCAGGGCACCUGGUCUCUCCAGAGAGACAGUGAUGGGGACAGAGGGAGGCUGACUCCAGUCAUGUCAGAAACAAGAAAGACCUAGAGACUGCGCUGGAGCCGACACGGAUCUCACACGGAUCCCACGCUCCUGGUGACGACAGUGUUAGGAAAAUAAGUGUAUUAAAUUUUGGGGGUCUAAUUCUCAUGAAAAACUGAAAGAGAAAAUAUUCUUCAUUUUUGGACUUAUAAUCGAUGAUCUAAUAAAAUUCUGUGAAUACUCUGCUGAUGCAGCUGAAAGUCAAGCUGCUGUGGCCUCUUUGUAGUGACAGGGACAUCCCUCAACCCACACCCCCGGUGUCUGGAAUCCCAGCUGCCCAGGUCCCUCUCUGACACCAGGAGCAGCUUCAUGAAGAGCAUCGGGACAAUAGUCCUCCUCUAACCGGAGGGCCCAG
ensembl:lncRNA